rnacentral:rRNA from 1 species
CAUAGCCGCGGUAAUACGGAGGGUGCAAGCGUUAUCCGGAUUUAUUGGGUUUAAAGGGUCCGUAGGCGGACUUAUAAGUCAGUGGUGAAAGCCUGUCGCUUAACGAUAGAACUGCCAUUGAUACUGUAAGUCUUGAGUAUAUUUGAGGUAGCUGGAAUAAGUAGUGUAGCGGUGAAAUGCAUAGAUAUUACUUAGAACACCAAUUGCGAAGGCAGGUUACCAAGAUAUAACUGACGCUGAGGGACGAAAGCGUGGGUAGCGAACAGGAUUAGAGACCCCUGUAGUCCCUGUCUCUUAUACA